UACGUAGGGGGCAAGCGUUGUCCGGAAUCAUUGGGCGUAAAGAGCGUGUAGGCGGCCCGGUAAGUCCGCUGUGAAAGUCCAGGGCUCAACCCUGGGAUGCCGGUGGAUACUGUCGGGCUCGAGUCCGGAAGAGGAGUGUGGAAUUCCUGGUGUAGCGGUGAAAUGCGCAGAUAUCAGGGGGAACACCAAUUGCGAAGGCAGCUCGCUGGGACGUUACUGACGCUGAGACGCGAAAGCGUGGGGAGCAAACAGG
rnacentral:rRNA from 1 species